rnacentral:rRNA from 1 species
AGAGUUUGAUCCUGGCUCAGGAUGAACGCUAGCGGCAGGCUUAACACAUGCAAGUCGAGGGGUAUAGUUCUUCGGAACUAGAGACCGGCGCACGGGUGCGUAACGCGUAUGCAAUCUACCUUUUACAGAGGGAUAGCCCAGAGAAAUUUGGAUUAAUACCUCAUAGUAUGCAGAGUUGGCAUCAACACUGUAUUAAAGUCACAACGGUAAAAGAUGAGCAUGCGUCCCAUUAGCUAGUUGGUAAGGUAACGGCUUACCAAGGCGACGAUGGGUAGGGGUCCUGAGAGGGAGAUCCCCCACACUGGUACUGAGACACGGACCAGACUCCUACGGGAGGCAGCAGUGAGGAAUAUUGGUCAAUGGACGCAAGUCUGAACCAGCCAUGCCGCGUGCAGGAUGACGGUCCUAUGGAUUGUAAACUGCUUUUGUACGAGAAGAAACCCUCCAACGUGUUGGAGCUUGACGGUAUCGUAAGAAUAAGGAUCGGCUAACUCCGUGCCAGCAGCCGCGGUAAUACGGAGGAUCCAAGCGUUAUCCGGAAUCAUUGGGUUUAAAGGGUCCGUAGGCGGUUUAGUAAGUCAGUGGUGAAAGCCCAUCGCUCAACGGUGGAACGGCCAUUGAUACUGCUAGACUUGAAUUAUUAGGAAGUAACUAGAAUAUGUAGUGUAGCGGUGAAAUGCUUAGAGAUUACAUGGAAUACCAAUUGCGAAGGCAGGUUACUACUAAUGGAUUGACGCUGAUGGACGAAAGCGUGGGUAGCGAACAGGAUUAGAUACCCUGGUAGUCCACGCCGUAAACGAUGGAUACUAGCUGUUGGGAGCAAUCUCAGUGGCUAAGCGAAAGUGAUAAGUAUCCCACCUGGGGAGUACGUUCG